UACGGAGGGGGCUAGCGUUGUUCGGAAUUACUGGGCGUAAAGCGCGCGUAGGCGGCUUUGUAAGUUAGAGGUGAAAGCCCAGGGCUCAACCCUGGAAUUGCCUUUAAGACUGCAUCGCUUGAACAUCGGAGAGGUAAGUGGAAUUCCGAGUGUAGAGGUGAAAUUCGUAGAUAUUCGCAAGAACACCAGUGGCGAAGGCGGCUUACUGGUCCGGAUCUGACGCUGAGGCGCGAAAGCGUGGGGAGCAAACAGG
rnacentral:rRNA from 1 species